rnacentral:tRNA from 1 species
GCCGCUGAAGUGUCAACGGUUGAAUACCGGGUCGACGGGGUCCCGGAGGGUGCGGGUUCGAAUCCCGUCAGCGGCGCAA